CUAUAAUAAGCAUACUAGGACUCAAUUUCUUGACUUUAAGAAAGCCGACUUCAUAAAACUUAGGGAAGUGCUGGGUGAGAUCCCAUGGACAAUAAUACUAAAAGGAAAGGGAGUUCAUGAUGGUUGGGAGUUUGUUAAGAGGGAGAUACUAAAAGCACAACGUCAGGCAAUACCAAUGAGACGGAAACAUGGAAGGUGCUUAAAGAAGCCAGGGUGGCUAUCUAAAGAACUUUUAACUGAGUUAAGAUUAAAAAGGAUGUGUACAAAAAAUGGAAAAGGGGGGAAACCACCAAAGAGGAAUUCAAACAAAUAGCCAGCAUGUGUAGACACAAAGUC